rnacentral:tRNA from 1 species
GAGGUGAUGGCUCAGUCUGGUAGAGCGGAUGGAGUGUCCAUCAGGUCGAAGGUUCAAAUCCUUCUCACUUCACCA